ACGGAAGGCAGCAGUGGGGAAUAUUGGUCAAUGGGGGAAACCCUGAACCAGCAACGCCGCGUGAAGGAAGAAGGCUUUCGGGUUGUAAACUUCUUUUAUCAGGGACGAAGAACGUGACGGUACCUGAUGAAUAAGCCACGGCUAACUACGUGCCAGCAGCCGCGGUAAUACGUAGGUGGCAGGCGUUAUCCGGAUUUACUGGGUGUAAAGGGCGCGUAGGCGGGGAUGCAAGUCAGGUGUGAAAUCUAUGGGCUUAACCCAUAAACUGCAUUUGAAACUGUAUCUCUUGAGUGUCGGAGAGGUAGAUGGAAUUCCUAGUGUAGCGGUGAAAUGCGUAGAUAUUAGGAGGAACACCAGUGGCGAAGGCGAUCUACUGGACGAUAACUGACGCUGAGGCGCGAAAGCGUGGGGAGCAAACAGGAUUAGAUACCCUGGUA
rnacentral:rRNA from 1 species